GAUGAACGCUAGCUACAGGCUUAACACAUGCAAGUCGAGGGGAAACGACAUCGAAAGCUUGCUUUUGGUGGGCGUCGACCGGCGCACGGGUGAGUAACGCGUAUCCAACCUGCCCACCACUUGGGGAUAACCUUGCGAAAGUAAGACUAAUACCCAAUGAUAUCCCACGAAGGCAUCCGAAUGGGAUUAAAGGAUUUAUCGGUGAUGGAUGGGGAUGCGUCUGAUUAGCUUGUUGGCGGGGUAACGGCCCACCAAGGCUACGAUCAGUAGGGGUUCUGAGAGGAAGGUCCCCCACAUUGGAACUGAGACACGGUCCAAACUCCUACGGGAGGCAGCAGUGAGGAAUAUUGGUCAAUGGGCGAGAGCCUGAACCAGCCAAGUAGCGUGCAGGAUGACGG
rnacentral:rRNA from 1 species